rnacentral:rRNA from 1 species
GUAGGGAAUAUUGGGCAAUGGGUGCAAGCCUGACCCAGCCAUCCCGCGUGCCGGAUGAAGGCCCUCUGGGUCGUAAACGGCUUUUGACGGUGAAGAACCGAAAGGGUGCGCCCUUUUUUGACGGUAGCCGUUGAAUAAGCACCGGCUAACUCCGUGCCAGCAGCCGCGGUAAUACGGAGGGUGCGAGCGUUGUCCGGAUUUAUUGGGUUUAAAGGGUGCGUAGGCUGGAGGGACAGUCAGCGGUGAAAAGCAGUUGCUCAACAAUUGUCUUGCCGCAGAUACUACCGUGCUUGGAUUGGGAGGAGGUUACCGGAACGGAUGGUGUAGCGGUGAAAUGCAUAGAUAUCAUCCAGAACGCCAAUUGCGAAGGCAGGUAACUGUACCUAUAUCGACGCUGAUGCACGAAAGCAUGGGUAGCGAACAGGAUUAGAAACCCUUGUAGUCC